rnacentral:tRNA from 1 species
GUAGUCAUGGCCAAGUGGUUAAGGCGAUGGACUUGAAAUCCAUUGGGGUUUCCCCACACAGGUUUGAAUUCUGCCAACUA